CUGCACAAGUUAGUGGUUACUUGGGCAUGGUUGCUCUCUCAUUUCAGAGUCUCCUUUUGAAGUGGUUCAAAGGUAGAGAGCACUUUAGGAGAAUGGUGUGUUUUAAAACCUGGCUGGCAUUUACAAUGUUCUGCUCUGUUCUUCUCUGCAUUAGCUAUAAGAUAGUGGCACCCUUCCAAGUGGUGUGAUGAUUCGGUGUUCAGGGUGCAGACCUCAGAAGUUCUCUGGCAUCUUCUUUCAAGUGUUCAGGAGGAAGCUCAGCAUGAAGUGAAUGAGAACACAACCAAACAACAGCAACAAUAAGACCAAAAGCAACAACAUUAUCGACAACAACAACUCAAUAAUUGCAGCAAGAACAACAGUAGGCCUCCCAGAUCUCCCAGCUCUCAGCUUUGCCCUUGAAAAACAAUGAGUCAGAACAGAAAACAUCAUCUGAGUAUUUCAAGGGAACCACCCAAGUGACAGUUCUAUGUCCUAUCUGUCUUGGAGCAAUAAUAAGACCUGGUAUACUCCAGAAGUUUUGGAACUGCUGAGAACAAAGGAGAGAUGGAUAUUUACAGCUCCUUCAGAGGACCAAUGAACUAGCUGAUGGAAAUCAGUCCAGCAUUGAUGUUGUUUGUUUAAAAGUAGAAUGGAGGACUGCAAGCACUAUUGCUUAACAGCACUGGAUGCUCUUUUAAAGGACCCAGGUUCAAUUUCCAGCACCCCUGUAGCAGCUUACAGCUGUCUGUAACUCCAGUUCCAAGAGAUCUGAUACCCUGUGACUUCAUCAAACAUAUUUAAAGUGUGCAGGUAUA
rnacentral:lncRNA from 1 species